GCGCUCACUUUGGCAGCACACGUACUAAAACUGGAACAAUAUGGAGAAUAUUAGCAUGGCCCUGAACAAGGAUGACACACAAAUUUGUGAAGUGUUCCAUAGUUUU